CCUUAAUCGAUUUUUUUUCUUCCUAGAACAUCCUGGAAGAAGGAGGAAAAUUAACUAAAGCUUCCAGGCAAUCCACGAAGGAUGAAGCAAAAUAUGACACUGGGAACCAAAGGAGUGAAAACUUACCUGACAGCAGUACCCCUGCCAGUCAAAAGCAGGAAGUAGUUGAAACCACACUGGUGCAGGCAAUCAGAAUAAAGAAUGAUUCUCCUUUCUUUCCAUCACCUGACUCAAAGCCCAAACAGGCCAAUACUGGUUGUAGAGUCUUGAAUGUGGAAAAAUUUCAUCCGUGCCUACCAGGAAGUGUUAUAGGACCAUUUUCAUAUGAAGAGAUUCCUCAGAAUGAUGUAGGCCAUUUGCCUGGUGAUGCACAUCAAACAGCAAAAGAUGAUGUCAAUGGACAUAUAGAAGCAACCAGUCGAGGAGUGGACCAUGGAGCAAGUGAAGGGACCCCAACACAUGGCCUCUCGCCCAGGACUGUGCCUAUGGAUGUGGUUCCUAUGUCUUCUCAAAUGAGUGAAUCAAGCAGCUUUCAGUGGGUUAGACCGGAGGAUACAGUAAAAGAAGAUACACCACUGUCCUGCAUGG